AUUGAACGCUGGCGGCAGGCCUAAUACAUGCAAGUCGAGCGAGCGGCGGACGGGUGAGUAAUGUAUGGGGACUGCCCGUUAGAGGGGGAUCACUACUGGAAACGGUAGCUAAUACAGCAUACUAUCGGAUAACCUAUAUGGGAUUAGCUAGUAGGUGAGUGAAUGGCUAACCUAGGCGACGAUCCCUAGCGGGUCUGAGAGGAUGAUCAGCCACAAUGGGACUGAGACACGGCCCAGACUCCUACGGCGGCAGCAGUGGGGAAUAUUGCACAAUGGACGAAAGCCGGAUGCAGCCAUGCCGCGUGUAUGAAGAAGGCUCUAGGGUUGUAAAGUACUUUCAUUCGGGAGGCGUUACCGACAGAAGAAGCACCGGCUAACUCCGUGCCAGCAGCCGCGGUAAUUC
rnacentral:rRNA from 1 species